GACGAACGCUGGCGGCGUGCUUAACACAUGCAAGUCGAACGGAAAGGCCCGGCUUUUGUGGGGUGCUCGAGUGGCGAACGGGUGAGUAAAACGUGAGUAACCUGCACCUGAAUUUGGGAUAAAAUCAGGAAACUGGGGCUAAUACAGGAUAGGAGAUACUGAUGCAUGGGGGGGGAUGGAAAGAUUCGGCGGUUGUGGGUAGACUAGAGGGUUAUCAGCUUGUUGGGGGGGUAGUGGAUUACAAAGUUUAUGAAGGAUAGCCGGCCUGGGAGGGUGACCGGCCACAUUGGGACUACGGUACGGCGCAGUCGCCUAUGUGAGGCAGUAGUGGGAAACCUUACACAACGGGGCGAAGCCUGAUGCGGCAACGCCGCGUUCGUGAUGACGUCCUUCGGGUUGUAAACCGCUUUCUCCUGUGACGAAGCCGGAGUGACGGUAAUGGGUAAGGAAGCACCGGCUAACUACGUG
rnacentral:rRNA from 1 species